GGCAGAUACAAGGUGACCAGCCUCUCAGAAGCUGCCCAAGCCCUAUAGAGCCUCCUUUGGGGACUUAUCAAGGUGUCCUCAGACUAGUGACCAUGACACCAACUAUGCUGUUCUUUCACCAAGGUCCAGAGCAGAAAUCUACAGGAGGUUGAAUAGCCCUGAAUCACUCUGAGUUUACAUAGUGGCAUUUUUUGCCCAGCCACAUUCUUCAAUGUCUUUUUGUGGCUAGAAGAAGCAGACUCCACGACCCAGAAGAACCUAAAGCCCCAAAUAGGGGUCUGAUUCCCUGAUUGACUGUGGUACAGAAGAUCCACCCCCAUCAAAGCCCACAUUGGACCAUAGUGUGAAAGAAAAGGAAGAUGUGAAGAAAAGAAAUACAAAAAGAGGAAACUCUGGAAGAUGGACAGAACAUUGCAUAACAAAAACGAUGGCUAGCAGACUUGGAAUGUGCAUGUAGAGUUUUCACAAGGCAAGCGACAGUCAAGUGAGAGUGAGUUAACUCUGCAGUAAACGUUCUCCAAUUUAAAUAAUAAGUUUGAGACUAGCCUGGGCAUCAUAGUGAGACCCUGUUUUUACAAAAAAAAUUUAAAAAUUAGCUGGGCGUGGUGGAGCACACCUGUAAUCCCAGCUACUUGGGAGGCUAAGGCAGGAGGAUUGCUGGAGCCCAGACAUUUGAGGCUGCAGUGAGUUAUGAUCAUGCCACUGCACUCCAGCCUGGGUGAGAGAGCAAGAUUCUGUUUCUAAAAAUAAAAAAUAAUAAUAAGGUCAAAUGUCUGAGUUUGCUAUGAAUUUGACUUAGAAAUUCAUUUUUUAGAAGAAAAAUGUCUUGCUAUUGCAGUUGCCCACCAGUGGAGCAACAGUGACACUAGCUAAUCAGUGAUGUGUAUUCCCUAAGGGAUACCACCAAGCCAGGCUAUUAAAACUUCCUAAAUAUAGCUUGUGUGGUGUCAUGUCUGCUGGGCUCUUUUAGAUCUCAACAUCCAAAGCAAGUGUAAAUCUGCACUACAGAUAAAGUGUGGCCCAGCUGGAACCCAAACUGUGCCCCUCCCCUCCCACCUCCCUUUCAGAGUCUACUUACAUGAGGCCACUCGGUAUCCACCAAGAUAUAAAUCAUGCUAAAGAAACAGAGUGUCAGUCCCUACCCUCCUGGCCCACCAGCACUGUUCUUCUGGCCUUUGACUAAGUCCUGGAAAAGGGCGGCUUAGGGAGAUAUUUCACUAAAUAUAUUCACACAUCUCUGAGAGGCCCCCAGGCAGCUAGGCUUUGGGAGUAUAUGACAAAGUGGAGCAAGGAGAGGAGUAAAGGAGCUGUCCUAUGUCACUGGAGUAAACUGUGGCAUUUCACCCAGUGCUCAAGGGUCCUGGGGCCCAAUGAAUUUGGAUUUAAAUUUAUGCUCUGACAUUUUCUAAGUGUAUGACUUGGGGCAAGUUUGUUAACCUCAGCAUCAUCAUCUACAGAACGGACAAAGAAAAAAAAAAGCAUCUGUUAGUCUUCCUGAGACUUAAACUAGAACCAUGUAAGAGCAAUGCCUUCUGACUUUUCUCAAGUCAUGACAGUCACAGAAAAUACCACAUGUACAGUAUAAUCCUAUGACAUAAUGCAACUGCUCGAUCAUAGAGUUAACAGCAUUAGAUGUCCUGAGACCACAGGCCGUGACCUUCCUCCCUGAGGGUUGAAGGGAUAAUAAUAACAGUGAUAGCAAACAGCAUCUGUGUAGUGAUUCCUGUGUGCCAGAAGCUGUUCUAAAUGCUUUACUUGAUUAAUUCAUUUGAUUCUCAGAGCAAUAGUAUGAUAUGGGAGUAUUAUUAUCUCUUUUUCUCAGAUGAGGAAACAGGCACAGAGAGGCUAUGGAAUGUACAUAAGAUUACACAGUCUGUGAGUGUCAGGUCCAACCCAGCAGUUAGAUCCAGCAUCCUCACUUCCCACCAAUUAUGCAGUAGAACCUUUCAGUAUCAUGGCCCAACUCCACCCCAACACCACGCCCUACUGGGGCACUCUGCAGUAUGGCCCUUCUCACACAGCAGCUAACUUAUAAUAGCAUUAAUACUUAUAAAAAGUACUUUUAUAGGCCGGCUGUGGUGGUUCAUGCCUGUAAUCCCAGCACUUUGGGAGGCCGAAGCCAGUGGAUUACCUGAGGUCAGGAGUUCAAGACCAGCCUGGCCUAUAUGGUGAAACCCCAUCUCUACUAAAAAUACAAAAAUAAGCCAGGCAUGGCAGUGUGUGCCUGUAGUCCCAGCUACACGGGAGGCUGAGGCAGAAGAAUUGCUUGAACCCAGGAGGCAGAGGUUGCAGUGAGCAGAGUGAGACUGUCUCAAAAAAAUAAAAAAAAGUAUUUUAAUAAAUAUUAAUGCUUCCUUAUAAAAAGUAUUUUAUAAGUAUUAAUUUUUUAUAAGAUAUGGGGUUUUAUAAGUAUAAAAAGCAUUAAUACUUAUAAAAAGCAGCUCAAUCAAGUGUGCAGAUGGAUGCACCAACAAGUUGCACAGCAUCAGUGGGUUUGACAGAGCAGGACAGUCCAGAACAAUGGGCACUGGCCUGGUUGGUUGUGGUGGGAAUCACAGAGACAGGCAGGGCUGGCUCAGCCGCAGGCCACACCACAGGAAGGGAGAAAAAGAGGAUGGAUUCCUCAUGGUGGUGCAAAUUCCCUUAGGUGGUCCAUGCUCUGGGGUUGUAUCACUGUCCAAUAAAUCGUUGUGGGGACGCUUUAGGGUCUAGAAGUCUAGCAUUAGCGGUGGGAAUUAGAGCCAUUCUGUUUUUAACUAUGGGCUUAAUGUUGCAGUUACCCGUAAUCAGUCCUGGCCUGAAAAAGCCCAGGAUGCAGCUGUAUGUAUGUAUUGAACUUUAACAUGUUCAUCUGCUGAUUAUAAAUAGUAAACUUCUGAAAGGCAGAAAAUGUGUCUCUUGCAUUUGCUUGCAUUUGCUAGCUAUCUCUUGAUAGCUGCUAGCAUUUGUCAGAGCCCUUUUCACAUAGUAGGCCAUCAAUAAAUGUGCAAUCAAGUUCAUUAAACAUAUUUAAUAAAGAUUUACUACCUAGGGCUAGCCCUUGAAACAAUUACUUCUAACUUCAGAAUUUUCUUUUGCAGAGGCAAUGGCAUCAGUUUCUCUGCUCUAAGUUUAAGGAAGAACAGGAAAACUGGCAGAGACAAACCCAAAGACCUAGUCCAAACUGAACACAUUUAUUCAACACCAACUCUAUUCAAGACUCUCUCUUAACAUAAAGCAGUCUUUCUUCUCUAUAGAAAAGGAUACAAAUGAAAGAUGCUGUUUGCAAACUCUGACGCUUUCCCUAAAUCAAAGAACUCAUUCCUAACAGUAGUUUUCAUUAAUUAUUAAUUUAUUAUGAAUACUAAUUCUGAAUGCAUUCAAUCAAAUGUGAUUUGAUGAAAUAAUAGUUGCUGCCAUGACCCAAGAAAGAAAAGUUGCUGCAAUGUGUGCCAUUACUCUUUAAGUAAAUGGUUUUCAAGUGUAUAAAGGUGGUUUCAGGUAGGUUUGAAGCACUGAUUGUCAUGUCCAAACAUUUGGACCCUGGGUAUGGCGAUGGAAUAGGGGCAGAAUGUGAUGCAGCGAACAUAAAUUAAAUGAGACUGCAUUUUCUUUCAUGGAACCCUUAGAGAUGCUUGCCGUGGAAACUGAAACAUCUGUUUUAAAAAAUAAACGUCAUUUAGGAGUGCUUUGCCAGAUACAAACAUCUCAGUGACAAUUUAGAACAGGGGUUGGCAAGUUACAGCUCAUGGGGCAAAUCCAGCCAUUCUUCUGUAUUUGUAAAUAAGAUUUCAUUGAAUACAGUCAUACUCAUUUGUUCAUGUAUUGUCUAUAACUGCUUUUGCUGCACUACAACUGCAGAGUUAACUAGUUUCAAAAGGCACCAAAUGGCCAGCAAAAUGAAAAAUAUCAUCUAACCCUCUACAGAAAGUUUGCCAACCCUUUAUUUAGAAUAACACCAAAAGUCACGGAUACCAACAUCUCAGUGACAAUUUAAACCAAUAUCAAAAUUAAUUUCACCAAUUCACAGCCCAACCUGCUAAGACAUCUCAAAUUAAUUAGGGUGUUUUUUAGCAUUUGUGUAAUUGACUCCUUGAAUUGUCGACAUGAUGCUCAUUAAAGAGAAGCACAUUUUGCCAUAAGUUGGUCAUACGGGAAGUAGAAGAUAUGGGUCUUCCCCUUGAUAUUGGCAAAUUGGCAUCUAAGUCGUGUACAGAAAAUCAUAUUUGUGGUUCUUAUUGCAUUUCUUACCAUAGGUGAGUGUUUACCUGUCCCCUUAACUUCAAGGGCUGAGACAAACUCUAAAACAUUAAGAUGUAUAAGAAAGAAAAAUAAUUGAAAAAUCAGUCUCUCAAUUUUUAAUAUGUGACCCUUCUUACUUCUACCUCUGAUGCUUGCCUAGCUAUGACCUAGCUUCUGGCAAGGCAGAAUUUACUUAAGGAUGCAUCAUUGUCAUUUGCAGGAGGCGCUCCUACCCACACAUUAUUCCCUUUUAGUCCCUCACCCAAAACUCCCCCUAAAUAGCGCAUCUCCCAGGAUGCUUGACUAGCCGAGAAGACCAGUGUUACCAACCUUGCCAGCAAUAACUUUUCUUACAUUCCUCCUCAUAGGCACAAAUUUUUUUAAGUGUGGAAAAAAGGAAAUUUAAGAAGUAAAAAAGAUAGUGAUGAAAAGUCAGCAUGUAUAAAGAAAAAGUCUGUUGGAAAAGGGAGAAGAAGCAUGCAGGAUUACCCCAAAGGCAAAAACCUAUUGAUAAAGAAGCAAAUAGAGAGCCAAGCUUUCAAAAAAGAAGGAAGUAAAAAUUUGGGGGUCUGGCCUAAAGCAGGGCAUUUUCAUUUUACCCAGCAACAUUGUUCUUUCAAGACACAUUUUAUAUUGUCUCUGAGUGGAGAGUUGCACUUCACAUAUCUGCAAUCCAGGGAGAAUCACAAUGAUGGUGGCAUAUCUCUCUCUUAAUUGUCAUUGGGCCCCAUGCGUGUAAAAUCGUAUUUUCACGAACUUCAUAACACAACGUAAUGUCUUUGUUUUUCUUCUCAUUAAACAGAGCCAAAUGGCUACACUGCAGAGGAGGCUAUUGUCUACUGAUAGUUACUGAUCAAAAGCAAAUCAAGUACUGCAACUCAGGCACCAACACAGGAUCCACCCCCACUCUUUCAGCCCUCCCAGUCAUGCAGAAAAUGAACCUCCCUAUAGUCUAAAUUUCCACUAUUCAGAAACCUUAGCUCAGGGCCUACCUGAUUUGGGGUUCAUCAACCCCUGAAAAAAAACUCAGUUUACUAUCUCAGAACCAGAAAACAUAUACGAUCUCUUAACAUUUUGUAGAUGCUAAUUUCUUGUGUUGAAUUUACUGAUGUAGUAACAACAAAAGGUACAAUAAGGUCUACUUCAUAACACAUUGAACGCUGUAUAUUCAUAAGCUGAGAAGCAGAGCUAAGAAUGAGGCAAGUCAAGUGACUAAAGCACAAAAUUUAAGAAAGUACUCACUUUUGGGAUUGUAUAAGCAGAGUCAGCAAUCUUUGACCAAUGGGGGAUGGGAGUUUGUAGAUAAGUGCUCCACUGUUACCUCCUUUGAGUGCAUGACUUGAGCUGCAUUCUGUAGACUACACAGGAGGCAUGAUUGAGUUUCAGCUGCCCACAACAGUGACUACUUGAUAAUAAACCUUUCAUUUGCCUUUCCCUCCUCUGUUUUAUUCUUUUGAAACUCUCAUCCCAGCUCCAUGGAAUCACCUC
rnacentral:lncRNA from 1 species